rnacentral:rRNA from 1 species
CAUUAUUGAAUAAACUGGGUUUAGGUUGUUGCUGGCUCUGCGGGGCAAUGUGCACGCCUAUUCCUAUUUUUACAACCACCUGUGCACUAUGUGUAGAUCUGAAUAACUUUCGAGGUACCACUCGGUCUGAGAAACUGCUGUGUAAUAUUCCCAGCUUUUCUUUGUUUUCAGAUUUAUGUUUCACUAUACUCCAUAUAAAGUAUUUGAAUGUAAACGYUGUACAUGCCUGUACAAAAAUAUAUCUUACAACUUUCAACAACGGAUCUCUUGGCUCUCGCAUCGAUGAAGAACGCAGCGAAAUGCGAUAAGUAAUGUGAAUUGCAGAAUUCAGUGAAUCAUCGAAUCUUUGAACGCACCUUGCGCUCUUUGGUAUUCCGAGGAGCAUGCCUGUUUGAGUGUCAUGAAAUUCUCAACCUUACGAACUUUUGUAAGGCUUGGACUCUGGGAGUUUGUUGGCUCAUUUGAGUCAGCUCUCCUUAAAUGUAUUAGCAGGAUCAUCGUCGAAUCAUCUUUGAUAUGAUAAUUAUCUAUAUCAUUGACGAUAYUUGGCAUUUUUCUUCAAGGAAAAAAGAUCAGGCUUAUAACUGUCUCCGGACACAUUGACUCAUUGACCU